rnacentral:rRNA from 1 species
CAGGACGAACGCUGGCGGCGUGCCUAAUACAUGCAAGUCGAACGGUCUUUCUAUGGAAGCUUGCUUCCACUGAGAAGAUAGUGGCGAACGGGUGAGUAACACGUGGGUAACCUGCCCAUAAGAGGGGGAUAACAUCCGGAAACGGGUGCUAAUACCGCAUAGUUUUCUUGAUCGCAUGAUCGGGAAAGGAAAGACGGCCUUUGUGCUGUCGCUUAUGGAUGGACCCGCGGCGUAUUAGUUAGUUGGUGAGGUAACGGCUCACCAAGACGAUGAUACGUAGCCGACCUGAGAGGGUGAUCGGCCACAUUGGGACUGAGACACGGCCCAAACUCCUACGGGAGGCAGCAGUAGGGAAUCUUCCGCAAUGGACGAAAGUCUGACGGAGCAACGCCGCGUGAGUGAAGAAAGGUUUUCGGAUCGUAAAACUCUGUUGUCAGAGAAGAACAAGUUGGAGAGUAACUGCUCCAGCCUUGACGGUAUCUGACCAGAAAGCCACGGCUAACUACGUGCCAGCCGCCGC